AGAGCUCUCCCGCUUACCUCAGGCGGUGGACGCCGGUUUCCCAUGUACAUGUGGCCUUUCUGGUCUGGAUGCCAUGCUCCUGCUCGCCCUGAGGUUUCUCGCCGGGGUAUUGAUCCAAAGCGGGUGCGACUGCGACCCUAGUCGGCAGCCGCCGUGCUCUCGCGACUUGCGGUCACGAGAUUCGGUUCAUAGGGCGGCUUGUUGAUUGACGUAGAGGCACAUGACUGGAACCGUGAGCUUUGAGUUGUCAAGUAGUAACAACCUACCUUUUGCCAUCGGCUUCUGGUUUGCUUUACUUUGCAGAGUUAAUGCAUUUGACAAAACAGUUCCAGGAAUCGCUGUGGCAACACGACUGAAUGCAAUAGCAUGCUAAGACCCCUAUUUAUGUUUAUGUGUUGUCUGAUGUAGGAUUGCAGCUAGGAUUCGUGUAUCAUGUAGCCCUGGUUCCCAAUCCUUGCUUGAUUUUGAAAAUAUUAUGUGAAUUUCUACUUGUAACAUCUCUUUCUACUUGUUGAGAAGUCCAAGGUUAAAUUCUGAUGCGCUUUUUACUAGAAAAGAAACGAAAACUUAGGUCUGCAAAUUUGUUAAAUUAUUUCAUAUGUGUCUAGUGCUCAGGCCACUGUGUCGGCGCAGAAAUCCUGCUUGCUUGAUUAUCUUCCCAUCGAGCAGUGGCUGUAUGUCCUACUUACUCGAGUGGCUUUGGAUAAUUAAUUUUGCCAAUUUGCUGCACAAAUUAUAGGUGUUCAAAAGUCAAAACACAGUCUGUUUUGUUUUUAUAUUCUUGUACAUGUACAGGGGUGAAGUGUCCCAUUCCAUAUACCCUGAGACGAAGCUGAGGUGUGGGUCAGUUAAGAGUGGAAUACUCUUAGUUGAAUGACUUUGGUGUCCUGUCUUGCACAUAUGUGAAAGGCUAUGCUGAUAUUGUGAUAUGCGGUUCACAAAAAGCUAUUUAGAAAAUGUCCUAGCUGAGAGUCCUUUCAUUCUCUGAUGAAUGAGAUCCUUGCUCUAAACAGUAGUUUUUAACUUAUAGCACCCUGCACAUAAUUGGCAAGUUCCUUAUUUUUCAACCAAUGAAACAGUGUGCCUUAAUUGGCUCCAUUUUAGUUAAGUGUGGAUUAUGCCAAGUCAUUAGUUGGUGAUCAAUAGAGACAUGGUGCCAUUUGCUCUCUUGAAAAAAAACUGAAUUUCAGUUACUGUAACUGAACAUGUACCCUAAUAAAGGAGCAUAAGAUAGUUUCCUUCAUCAAGCCUCCUACAGAAGUAUUCAACUGUUUAGGAAAUAGUCUUCUUACCACACUCUAGUUAAGUAAAUAAACUAGGAGGCUAGAAAAAACUAUUUUCAGGAUUCAGAUUUAUAUUUAAUUACUUGAAAUGUAUAUAGCACAUAUCAUAUGGCACUGCUUUUAUUCACAGUCAUGCCCACUGCACAGUGGUUCUUUCCCACAGUUGCUUCUUUCUCUUGCCACCCUAAUACUCUACCAUCAAUUUGUCCUUGCUCCCUCUUGCCUUGCAGUAGCUUUUGGUGUGCUGAAUCCAACACCAGCUCCUCCUCCCUUUGUUAUGUAUCCUGAGGCAAGGGGCUGAGUCCCAACUGAUUGUACCUUUUGCCUGUAUGAUAUUGCUUCCAGCGCUGAUCUGAUUUCAGUUGUAGUAUUUACUCCCUCUGAUUCCAGAUCUCCAUGGAGGGAACGCAAGCUCAGGACACAGUUAUUACAGUCACACAAUAUACUGUACCUAUUCUAUAGUGAAGCUCUGAAUUUCAUUUCUUUUUAAAUAUUUAUACUUCGGCUGUUUGUAUUAUUGUAGCUACCAUGAAAACAGUUGCUUAAUGCAUCUCUAGAUCAUUUCUAUUAGUUCAAAAAUCAAUUAUACAGGCUUUUGGUUCUGUGGUUGGUCUUCAUUAGAAAAAUCUAGUUACAGAAGAAUGGUCACUGGAUUAAUCUAAAUUUUGAACCCAAAACCUGGCUCUAACUAAAUAAAAAUCGUGCUUGCAAAACAUUUGAUUGACAACCUGUUCAGUGGAGUGCAGUUAAGCUGAGCUCAAGGUCACAUAUGUAUGCCCUCUUAAAAGUGCACUUCUGACAUUUGUGAGAAAAAAAGAAAUAGAUACAAAAAUCUGUAGAUUUUUUUUGGCAAUAUGUGCUACACUGCUUGUUCCAAAAAAGACAAAUAACUUGUUUCAUAUUUGUGGGGGCAAAUCAAAUUAUUUCUCCUGUCUUUCGUGUAACUCGCGUAUGGUCUAGUUUUUCCACAAAAAUUAUCUGUGUUGACAUACUUGUUCAUGGUCUACAUGUGUUUAUUUGUUUUUUAGAAAUUUUGGAAGUUCACAAAGUGCAUGUUUCAAAUAUUUGUGCCGCAUUGUGUUGUAUUAAUGUCCUCGACUCCUCUGUUAAUAAGGGUUAUGUUUGACUUGUCAUUAGCAUAAAUGUAUCCUUCGAUAAAAAAACCUAAUCUAUAGUUUUCAGGCACCAUGUUACUCAUGUCUCCAUUCCCGGGGAUGGAUCUAAGUAAAAUGGAUCCCGCGACUCUGACCCUCCUUGGGGCAGCUGGUUGUGUAAUGCUGACUAUGCAUUUCACUGUGCAACUGGUGUCACAACAUCUCUUCUAUUGGAAAAACCCCUAGGAGCAGAAAGCUAGACUUAUUAUUGUGCUAAUGGCUCCACUAUAUGCUAUCUCUUCCUUUGUGGGUCUUCUUGAUAUCCAGGGUAGCAAGACAUUUUUUACAUUCUUGGAUGCUGUUAAGGAAUGCUAUGAAGCACUGGUGGGUCAACCAUAUGAUUAUAAGCCUAAAUGAAUCUUGCUGUUUCACUAACACUUCAAUUUCCUUACAAUUACGAAGGUGAUUGCUAAGUUUAUGGCAUUGAUGUACAGCUACUUGAAUAUAUCCAUCAGCAAGAACAUAGUCCCUGAUGAAAUCAAAGGGGGAAAGGGGGGGGGGGUGCUUCAUCAUUCCUUCCAUGUUUCUGUUUUCCUGGUACCUUUCUUAUGCCUUGGUAGAUAAAACUUUUUUCCUAAUUUUUUAUAAUUGCUGCUUAAGUUUUGUAAUGUGGCCUGUCUAUGGUGAGUUAUGUUAUAGGUUCAUACCUGGGAUAUCUAUAAGAAAGCUUACUUAUUUGAAGGAGACAAUCAUUUUUUUUUCCAGUGGUCCGUUAGUCAAAUAAUCAUUUGUGUAGCUUUUUUGUAGAAUGAUUGAACUAUAUACUUAGUGGUGACUGGUGAAUAAGAUUACACCAGUUUUACCUUUUAUUUCAGAUCCAGUUUCUUUAAUUAUAUUUUUUCCAAAGCUUCCGGUGUUGUGUUUGAACUUCAGUUUCUUUAAUUAUAGUUUUUGAAACCAGACUAGAGGGCGGGGUGGGCUCGACUGCUCGAGCCCCUCUACCACCGUUGAUCCCUUAGAGCCCCCCCCUCCCCACCCCCAACCCCCCAAAAAAAGCAAUUUCCACCAUUGCUGUGAAGAGUAGGAGGGGGCGAGGGGCUCAAGUCGACAAACUGCUGUCUGGAGAUGGAAGAUGACCUCACGACUUGGGCCAGUGAGUUAAUAUGGGAUUAUUUCCUUCGUUCCCACCUGAACUGGAGAAUAGAAUCAUAUACCCAAUAUCCAAUACUCUCAUGGGAAAAGUAAAAGUAUGCCCUCCAGUCCACCACUUCACUUCCUUCACCCUCUGGUUGCUCAUCAUGAUAUCACCACUAGCCACCUUUAUCCUUACUGGGUCACACUCUUCUACCUCCAACCUUAACUUCACCAUCUGCUUGCUAAUAAAACUGGUAGAACUUCCAGAAUCCACCAACAUCAACAUCUGAUGUUGAACCAAUGCCCUGAGUCUGAUACACUGUAAAUCAUCAGUCCCACUAAUAGCAUUAAGAGAUAACUAAAGAUCAUCUUCUUGUUUCUCCUCUUGCUCUAUCUGCUCCAAAACCUCAGGAGUCAGGAGUCAAGAUAUGUAACUGGACUGUCUUCCCCUUUUGGCAUUUCACCUGAUGACCAGGAUCAUACUUCUCCACAGAUAAAACACAGACCAUUUGCUCUUAUAUAUUCCUUCAAUUGUCUCUCCUUACUCCAUACUCCCAAUCUCCCAUAUCUACUCCUUUCCCUUCUGCUCUAUUUCCUCCCCCUAAUCGACCCACACUGGGUUGCUUUAUAAACUUCAUUCCUCUUUUGUCGAUGAUAUGCUGCUGAACUUGAGGCAAUAACUGUGCCCUGUCGACAGUAGCAGGGAGCUGAGACAUAACUGCAUACUGAAUUUCACUCUUCAGUCCUCUGACAAACUGAGUGACAUAGAAUGUCUCAUCCAUCACAGGGUUGUGAACAGCUAUGGCAUAUCUCACUUCUUCAAACUCCUUCACAUAUUCUUCUACUCACCCUUUCUGCCUUAUACUCAUCAACUUCCUCAUAGCUCUUGGGUAUUCCUCGGCUCCAAAUUUGUUUAGCACAAGCCUAGACAAAUUUCUCCAAUCUCCCAACCCUUGCUUCAACCUGACCACCUGCAACCAACGUGCUACAGUGCCUUCAAAAUUCAGGGACGCCACAGUGGACUUCAUGAAGUCAGGGACUCGAUAGAGGUUGAAGUAGUCUUCACAUUGAAUGAUCCAAAUAGUUGGGUCUGUUCCUCCAAACUUUGGGAAAGGCAUCUUCGAUAUAUGUUGCUGCAAUUGUUCCCCAUCUCUCUCUUGUCGCCUAGAACUCUCCCCUCUUCCUCCCUGAGUCCUACAUCCUCUAUUCUGGGGAAUUCUUUUGUUACCACCUCCUUCUACAUCUUCAUAAUUAUCCAUAGAGCGAUCCAUAUCUCUAGCCAUGGCUUCCAACCGAAGAAGAGAAACAGCCUUACCGGUCUCCUCCACUUGUUUGCGAAGCAGCGUCCUCUCUUCCAUGGCAUCCACCUUCCCCAUCAACUUCUCGAUGGCCAGCAUCAUCUUCUCCCAACACGCUUCACUCUGCUUGGCUUCCAUGGUGAAAGCCUUGACCACCAACCGGGACUGUGCUGAUGGCUUGACUGAAGGUGUCGUGAUGAAGAUUCUGAGCACCUCCCUUCAAACUUUUGUCACGCUGUCUUCCCGCCAACCUAUUCUCCGAGGACACGGUAGCUUUGAUACCAAUUGUGAGGAACCCUGGAUCUAGGGUUUUGCCAUCCCAGAAUUGCUUCCAGGUAUGGUUUCCCCUUUCUCUAGGGUUCAUCCGACGUGAGGUUUCCCCCUUGGCCGGUUCUAGCCAGAAUCCGGACACACACACGUAUGUGGUGGUAGUUUGAUUUCUGUUAUUUCAUUUCAUGCCUUCCUCAUUACAAUCUCUCAGAUUUAUAGAACCCCUAAGCGGCUUUGCCCGUUAAUCGGGUAUUACAGCUAGAUUACAACGGAUUACAACUGUAUUACUCUAAUCCUCCAUGUACUCUUCUGAACCUUCUUGCCUUCUUGUGUUGCCUUGGCUGGAUCUAUGCACCAGUGAUAGGGUCGUGACAGGCAGCCCCGCAACGUCUUGGAGCACAAGACAUUGAAGCUUCUAAAGUAUUGGACCUGGCAAUUUGUUAUUGUCAGGACAGUAUGUUCCAUUCUGAUUAUUGCACUUCAGGUUCUUGGGCUGUACCCCAGCUAGGUGAGCUGGACGUUUAGUAUUAUACUGAACUUCUCAGUCUACAUGGCCUUAUAUGCCUUGGUUCUUUUCUACCACUUGUUUGCUAAAGAGUUGGCACCUCACAAGCCUCUUGCAAAGUUUUUGUGCAUCAAAGGGAUCGUAUUCUUCUGUUUCUGGCAGGUAUAUCAUCUAAAGUGUUUCUGAAAGCUUUAUAUAAAGUUUGCACGGGUGAUUGUCUUGAUUGCUUAUAGACAACUCUCUGGAUGGAUUAAUGUGUACUUAUUAGAUAGUAUCUGCUUGCCAUGACUUAAGAUGAAGCUUCAUUUCUCUUUAAUAUUUUGAUUUAGUUAGAUUUUAUGUAUGAGUAUGACUGUAUGACCACCUCAUGUUCACUUCCGUGCCAUAAUUUCUGUUUUAUAAACCCCACUUACAGUUUUACUUGAUGUAAUCACAUCAUAUGUAAAUUUGAGAUAAUAAUUUCUUUAUAAAACAGUGUUACAAGUACGUGUUGCUUUAUGGGUGAUAGAGAUAGCAAGAGGUGCAGAAAGAGGUGUAGUGGAAAUGAAAGCUACAGUUAUAAAGAAAAAACAAAACAAGCUAGACAACUUGAGGUAUCUCAUUCAUUUUGGAGGCAAAUUUAAUUUGUAGUUUGAUCCUGCUGGAGGACAUUCACUUUGUAUUAGUCUGCCAGUGCACUUACAUUAGGCAACAUUUGAAUUUGGAAGGAACCUCAUCCCUUGUGGAAAUGGAAAGAGCUAUUUGCCUUUUUUGACUGAAAUACCACUACUUGCCUACUUGGCUCUACAUUCUUUCGCCCUGACAGAAACAGAACACGCCCACGUACUGCACUGCACUGCACAUUUUCGUUCCAGGGUUUCGCGCUCGGUAUCUUAGCUGGAGCAGGCGUGAUCAAAUCCCACCAUUUCUGGCGGGACGUGGAGCACAUCCAGGAGGCCAUCCAGAACGUGCUGGUGAUCCUCGAGAUGGUCGUGUUUUUCGUCGUCCCCUCUACGGGCUUGUUCGGUUCUACCCCAAUCCAUAUGGAUUGAGGGGGUUUCAAUCCCUGCGGCGCUGACAGGGCCAAAUUCGAGAAGAAGAACGAAUGAACCAGGUUUCCGGAAGGAAUUGGGGGGGGGGGGGGGGGGGGGGGGGAACCCCGUGCUGCUUCUCUCUGCUCUCUGGUCUGCCGGCCGGAAAUGGAGCACCAGUAUUUUCCUCACGGAUGGACAUACACAGGUCCCUUAGCAAGGGACUGGUCGUCUUGUACGUACGCUAUUCUCAGCUGGGGACUGGCCGAGGCCGACUGCGGGAUCCUUUUGCGAAUAAAUCUACAGUCCUGUUCUACAGUGGCCGCACUGGACUGAUUGAUUCCGAUGAGGUUGCCUGCAACUACCACUACCACUGCUAGGGGAUGAUCUUGCAAUCUGCAACUACCGCUCGUUGUUUAUUGGCGGUAUAGUGUAUAGCUACGUGGUUUUGAGGUCUCUGAGGCUGAUUUCCAGAGUUCAUCACAAGUGGCAGGAGUACAUGACUGAUGGGAGUUUUUCUA